rnacentral:rRNA from 1 species
CUGCUGCCUCCCGUAGGAGUCUGGUCCGUGUCUCAGUACCAGUGUGGGGGGACCUUCCUCUCAGAACCCCUACGCAUCGUCGUCUUGGUGGUCCGUUACACCGCCAACUAACUAAUGCGACGCAUGCCCAUCCGCCACCGGAAUCAACCUUUGGCACCAACAGGAUGUCCCGUCGAUGCAUUAUGCCGUAUUAGACGGAAUUUCUCCCGAUUAUCCGGCUGUGGCAGGCAGGUUGCAUACGUGUUACUCACCCG